UUCGCCAGCUUCCGCUUGCCGCUAGGGUGUCGUACGGAGGAGAAAACAUACCGCUCGCGUGUUCCGUAAACUUUUGUCGGGACCUGUACGGUGCGUCCACAAAUAUUAAUUUAGUGGUCUAGCCUUUCUUGUCCCGUGACCACCUGCAACAUCACAGGUAAGUCAUGUAGCACGUAUUUGGCCGAAUUGGACAAAAGCAGUGUGAUGCCGUCGUCUCCUCAAUGGAAAUUGAUUGAUUGCUUAUUUGUCAUCAGCACAAAAAAAUAAAGCUGCUGCUACUCCAUCAGCAAUUGCUGAUGGAGCCUGAAUUGAGUCUUAAAUGGAGGUUACCGUAAUUUCACGCGUAUAAGCCGCAAUUUUUUUUCUCUCGGUCGCUGUGCGGCUUAUCUGAUAGCUAUUUUUCCCUGGUAUUUUCCUGCUGGUUUUAACGAAAGGGCUGACAGUGUCUCUGGAACAGCACUGCCCAGCCAAUGCACAAACAAUGCCAUUCGAGUAGACUGACCUUCCUGGUGCCUUCCCUCAAGCAGCUUUAAUGAAAGUGCUCACAGUGACUUCUGGAAGGCCACUGAUACGCAACGAUCAUGGUAUAAGACUAGAACUGACCUCCUUUGUUGUACACCAUGCCGACUCCGAAGUAUGGACCACAGGGUUUUUGGCCUUCUGUAUGGUCUCCUUUGUCGCACAAAUCAGUCGCGUCCUAUUGCCCGCGGCUUAUACGCGUGAAAUUACGAUACUUCUUUUCACGUGAAAUGUUGAAAAUUAGUACCAUUGAGUUUCUUCAGCAAUGUUAAUAUUAUUAAUGGACAUUUCGUUUUAUUUCCACAAAUCAGGUGUGGGGACAAGGACAAAAAGCUGUAAAGAGACAGCUUGACAAGGUUCCAGCUCCUAUACAGCGGCGAUAAUAAACACAAUGAAAUAGAAACAAACAUAAUGUUACUAGUAUCAGUACACAAACAACAAACAAAAUACUACACAAAUGCAAAUUUAAAGAAAAACAGAAAGAUACGGUAGUGCAUAUUUUUGAUUAAGAUAGCAAUGGGAGCAUUUCCUAAGGAGAAAUAUCUGAGUGUCUCUUGGAGCACUGAACUUUCUUUUUGUUUCGUGAAACUGUCUCAAUUACUUUAACAAUAUUAUUAAUUUAACAAGCACAGACAAGGUCAGGUAAAGUGAUCUCGUAAAACAACGAAACAUUAUGGAUUAUCCCAAAUUGGUGGCAUUGUUACACACACCAUCCUCAGCGACUGGACCAAAAUUACUGGACCAAAAAUUCUUCGUGCUGGCCAACCUGAUACAACGUAGAUAUUCUACGGAAGACAUCUUUCUCACGACCAAGAGUGUGCAAGAUAAGAGUGACAAAAUUAUUGGAAAGGUCUUAAUAUGACGAAUGACAUUGGAUGCCUUAACAAUCCUUGAACAAAUGGUGUGUGAAGGCUUCAAGUGCAGGUUGUGCAGUUAUGCAGCAGCACACGAGUGUACAUUGCAGAUACGUUACACCACAGGGUUACCAAACAUGCAUCUGUAAAGGAGGGAUAGUCUAUUUGGUACCCUCAAAGUUGUUAUUUUGGCUAUGGCAGUAAGUUUGCAGGUUCCGCGUUAGUGCCUGUGAAACAGCUGUGGCUAUGACAGAUGGGACAUCAGACAACACCACAAAACAUUGUGUUCAAGUAUUGCAUGCUCAAAGUUCCAUUUUAGUAGCCGUCAGUGUUGUUCACUGCCACAUUUUGGUAGGAAAAAAACUGCUUUCAUUUUUUGUGGGUCAAAUUUAUUGCCAUGAUGCCUGAAAUAUUUUUUAGGGCACUUCAUAUUACACUUAUGUGAUUUUUUAUGUACAUUGCUCGUGCGGUAUUUCAUGCCAGUGGAGGUUCAACCCUAUCAAUUGGGAUGUUUUCUGCUAAUAUUGUUAGUAGAAAACCUUAGAUUUUGACCAUUUAAGACCAUACUGUUUUAUUUGGGAAAUUAAAAUGCAAACUCCCAUCUCAUCGUUACUGGAACAAUUGAUGGUGCGAGUUAUUCCAGCUGCCUGUAUCCCAGAAGCGGUAUGAAUAUUCUGGUACUGAUCACUACUUAGUAGUACUGUAGUCAGUCUUGUGUCAUUGAAAAUGAGUAUGAGUGUGUGUUGUUUUGGAGGUCAGUAUCGUGCAAUUUGUUAACACUCAUGUCCGAAAGAGGUUUCUAGUCAUUACUGUGCACUUUUAUAAAAUUUGUCGACCACGAGGAACUAUCAUGUUCCCUGAGUCGCAUCUAAGCCACAUGUGCAGUAAUACGACACACAGUGUGCUCACACAUGCUCGAGUCCAUAUAAAGUGUCAACUCUGCUACCAAUUAAAUGUUAAUUGGUCGCAUGAACCCUCGUAUUGUUGUUAGAGGUAGAGCAAUUCCUGGAAGGGCAGCAUUUCCUCCAGUUAGAGAUUAUUCCUUAACAUGAGAGCUUAUUCAGAACACUAAAGUUGCGCAAAGUAAAAUAAAAAUCACUAUAGGGAAAUAACAUUUGACAUCCAGCGGAGCCGAGCAAAGUGCUCUGUUUGGGUCAAGAAAUGUUUCCUGUGAAUAGCUCGAUGCUUUUCCCAUACAUAUCCUAGUACAACUAUCCUAGUAGAGUUUGGUCGUAUGAUGCAGAUGCUAGCCAGGAUCUUGCCUCAUCUUGUCUAUGAUUCGUACAUAGUGAAAUGUUUCCAUGUGACAAAUUCAAACAACUCAGGGUCAUAGACAAACUGCUUUCCAAAAGUUUGCUGUACUCAGGGGAAAUGCUACCCCAAAAUGAAACCGUUUUUUGCAUGUUUUUUUUUCUUCUAGCGUUUGUUUCUAGUUGUAAGCGUUAAAAUUUUCUAUGGACUGACAAGGAAAAUAAUGGGAACAAAAUGCUCGAAAAUAGCUGUUUUCUUUUUGCAUAUUUUAAAUACUGCUAACUGCAUUCCAGAAAACAGGUUCUUCAGGUAUCAUAACACUUAUAUGCUGUGGAAAUGUUUGUAAGAUGAUGUCAUUGUGAUCAUUUAGAUUGGCGAGAAUACCAGUGUCGGUUCUGCCCGCACGCAGCCAAGAGGAAGGAUCAUCUCAUUCAACAUGAACGGACACACACUGGGGAGAAGCCCUUCCGUUGCAGAUUCUGCAAUCACUCAUCAAAGUCAAAGUCCCAGUUGAUUCGCCACGAAAGGAUACAUACAGGAGAGAAGCCCUACCAUUGUGGAUUAUGCUCAUACUCUUCCAAACGAAGAGAUCACCUUGUGCUUCAUGAAAAAAUACACAGGAGAAUGUGUCAUGGGGUGUGGGAAUUGUAAUAAAUUUACUUUAUGAAGAUAA